rnacentral:misc_RNA from 1 species
AACGCACCUUGCGCUCCUUGGUAUUCCGAGGAGCAUGCCUGUUUGAGUGUCAUGAAAUCUUCAACCUGCAAGCUUUUAAUCGGUUUGUAGGCUUGGAUUUGGAGGCUAUUGUCGGCCUUUAUCGGUCGGCUCCUCUUAAACGUAUUAGCUUGGUUCCUUGCGGAUCGGCUCGUCGGUGUGAUAAUGUCUACGCCGCGACCGUGAAGCGUUUGGGCAAGCUUCCAACCGUCUCACUUUAGAGACAACCUUAUGACCUCUGACCUCAAAUCAGGUAGGACUACCCGCUGAACUUAA